rnacentral:rRNA from 1 species
CGGGAGUCAGACUGCGAGUGAUAAGAUCCGUAGUCGAAAGGGAAACAGCCCAGACCACCAGUUAAGGUCCCCAAAUAUAUGUUAAGUGGAAAAGGAUGUGGGGUUGCUUAGACAACCAGGAUGUUGGCUUAGAAGCAGCCACCAUUGAAAGAGUGCGUAAUAGCUCACUGGUCGAGUGACCCCGCGCCGAAAAUGUACCGGGGCUAAACAUAUUACCGAAACUGUGGAUGAACCUCUUUAGAGGUUCGUGGUAGGAGAGCGUUCUAAGGGCGGUGAAGUCAGACCGGAAGGACUGGUGGAGCGCUUAGAAGUGAGAAUGCCGGUAUGAGUAGCGAAAGAAGGGUGAGAAUCCCUUCCACCGAAUAUCUAAGGUU